UACAGAGGGUGCAAGCGUUGCUCGGAAUUAUUGGGCGUAAAGGGUAGGUAGGUGGUCUCAUUUGUCAGGGGUGAAAGCCUUGGGCUUAACCCGAGAAGUGCCCCUGAAACGGUGAGACUAGAGUAUCGGAGAGGUUCGUGGAAUUCCCGGUGUAGCGGUGAAAUGCGUAGAGAUCGGGAGGAACACCAGAGGCGAAGGCGGCGAACUGGACGGUUACUGACACUCAACUACGAAAGCGUGGGGAGCAAACAGG
rnacentral:rRNA from 1 species